AUCUGUUAGUCUCUAAGGUGCCACAAGUACUCCUUUUCUUUUUGCGAAUACAGACUAACACGGCUGCUACUCUGAAACCUUUCAAAACAUUGUUCUUCCCACAUGGAAAUCCUUCAGACGUGCUUAGUCAAAUAGUCAAAAGUCUGCCUUUCUGACAAAAAUAGUGCUUUUUUUGAGUGCUUCUGAUAUUUUUGUUUUGAAAGAUAGGGAUUUUUAAUGACUUUUUAAUAAUUCAACCCCAAAAUGGUAAUGUUCAAUUCUCUUCCUAAUUGUUGUUCAAAAGCGAGAUUCAAAAACUGUUUGGACACAGGAAGCUGUGAUUUUAUUUUAUUUUUUAAAAAUGUAUUUUUAUUUAUUUUAUCUUUAAGCAAAGUCAGUAUUUUUUGUUACAAUGCUCAUAAGCAUGAUUAUAAGCAUUAAUAAGCUUGUAUUAUUGUCAGUUUUUUAUCCACACAGUUGUAAAGCGCAGGUAACUUCUUCAGUUUCCCUCAGUCUCCUGCUGUUAAUAACAUCUUUGACCCUGUGUACCCCUUCUAAAGAAUGCUCUCUCUCUUCAUGAGUUGAUCGAAGCCAUUGCAAUCUGUGCAGAAUAUUUCUCCAUUUUGGACAAGAUUGCACCCUCCCACAGUAAAAUACAAUGAAGGAGGCUAACAGAGAGGCAUAUGUCUGAGAAGUUGUUCAUGGAGAUUUCCCCGCAACAUUUUCUUGGGAUGGAAUAGCAUUUGAUUUCCUGCAGAAUAGGUCUUAGUACCCUCAUUUGAAUCACAUUGAUCCCCUUGAUCAAAAGAAGGGUAGGGCCAGCCAUGCCAAAACCCUGCUGCUCCAAGCUGGCUCAAACUCCAAAAUGCUCCCUUCGUCCUAGAAGAAUGACUCCACUGGGGGAAUGCUACCAGGGGUUCCACUUGUCAUGGGAACUUUUGUUAUUUUGGCUACCCUUUCCUUAUAGCGAAUCCUACCCAUGGAGGGGAGGGUUCCAUGAAACAGGUAACACAGUCACAGCCUUUAUUAUUUCUUCCUGGUAAGCUCUGAGAUACCAAGAUGAGAUGAUUUGCUUCCCCAACCUAAUAGAGAUUAUUUUUUUAUUGGCCUAACACUACCUCUCUGCCCCACUAGCAUUCAACUAGUUCUUCAUAUAUGCAGCCUUCUGACAAGUAGAAUAUCUCUAUUUGAAAGAGUUUGACAGAAUUUUUUCUCCUAUCCAUGUCAUUAUUAAUCUGAAAUCAGACAUGUCUGUUACGUACCCACUAUACUUCAUUUUCAUUUACAAAAGGCUAACAGAAUUAAAUUCAAGGCUGCCUGAAAUGCAUGUCAGCUCAUUUAUAUGAACAAAUGUAGUUUCUAAAAUCUGGUUCUUUCUAGUUAAGAUACACCUAAGUUGAUUCUUUCUCAGAUUCUGCCUUAUCACUACUCUUUCAUCUUGCAUUUGAAUUUCAGUAUGAAAUGGAACAGACAAGCUCCCUUAAAUUUAAGUCUUAAAAUAUUUAACUUUGUUCCUGUGUAAACAAUCAGAAUUCAAAGGUAUGGGACUGAACUGAACACAUUUCUUCAUCACCAUCAUCAUUAACAAGUGUUUUGAUAUAUGUGGUGUAGAAUAAAUUCCUUUCAUCACAGUAAAAAUCUUCCAAUUAUCUUUUAUUCUCUGAUAUUUUGUAUCCGAUUCAUACUCAUGACCUGGUGUGUUUUUCCCCUGCUCCCUGCCACGCACACUAUUUUUAGUGUAAUGUAUUUAUUGAGAACCUUAUACAGACUCUAAUGAAUUAAGGGUCAACCUUAAAUAAAAAUGAGUUCAUGUAUUCUUAAAAAUUCAACGUAUGCUGGAAUUGUAUAGCAUAUAAAGUAAAAAAAAAAAAUUAUAUUCCA